UGGGGAAUAUUGGACAAUGGGCGCAAGCCUGAUCCAGCAAUGCCGCGUGUGUGAAGAAGGCCUUCGGGUUGUAAAGCACUUUUAUCAGGAGCGAAAUGCCAUUGGUUAAUACCCGGUGGAGCUGACGGUACCUGAGGAAUAAGCACCGGCUAACUUCGUGCCAGCAGCCGCGGUAAUACGAAGGGUGCAAGCGUUAAUCGGAAUUACUGGGCGUAAAGCGUGCGUAGGCGGUUUUUUAAGUCUGCUGUGAAAUCCCCGGGCUCAACCUGGGAAUGGCUGUGGAUACUGGAAAGCUAGAGUGUGUCAGAGGAUGGUGGAAUUCCCGGUGUAGCGGUGAAAUGCGUAGAGAUCGGGAGGAACAUCAGUGGCGAAGGCGGCCAUCUGGGACAACACUGACGCUGAGGCACGAAAGCGUGGGGAGCAAAC
rnacentral:rRNA from 1 species